rnacentral:rRNA from 1 species
AUGGUGAGAGGUUUUUAUUGGGGGUCUGAGAAGGGCAAAAGAAAAGUGCAUUGGCGAGCUUGGAAUGAUCUGUUACAACCAAAAAAUAAAGGUGGUGCUGGCUUCCGUGAUUUCCGUAUUUUUAACCAAGCUUUGUUAGCUAGGCAAUCUUGGAGAUUAAUCUUGAAACCCGACAGUCUAUGUGCACAAGUCUUAAAGGCUAGAUACUACCCCAAGGGUAAGCUUGAGGACACUGUGUUUUCUGUUAAUGCUUCCUCGUCUUGGCAGGCUAUUAGCUAUGGUCUUGAUCUUCUGAAGAAGGGACUUAUCUGGAGAGUGGGAGACGGUAGGAGUAUUCGGGUUUGGCAUGAUAAUUGGAUCCCG